rnacentral:sRNA from 1 species
UUUUUUUUUGGUUUUGC